CGGAGCGCGAGGCGCCGGCCGCCGGUCCGGGCGGAGCUGCGGAGGCCACGGGCGCGCGGGCUCCGGGUUCCUCCACAGAAAGUUCUGACUUGGCACACCCAGCCCUGCUUUCCCUAUGCUCGUCUUGGACUGGAAUGACUUGGACUGGGAUGACCAUCACCCGAGGGCAGAUCUUCAAAUUAAGAGGCGAACAUCAAUGUUAAAUUCAAAAAACAACAGUUUGAAGCUUGUGCAACAACCUUAAAAAGAGGAAGAAAGGAGAGUGGACGGCUGGCCACAGGAAAACUCCCGAACCGUCGGGGCUCCGCGGGUCCACGCUGGAGAACCCAUCGUCACACAGUGGGAAUGUAAGAAACCCGCGCUCAGCCCCCAGAACCAAAGAGGAGUGCACCGCACCACUGCUGUGAUGUCAUGCACAAACACACAUAAAAGGUUUAUUUCUCCACCCUGGCUAAUAAACUUGCUUUGUACACAUCCAGCCACCACUUUCCCUUUCAGUGUACGGUCAGCGGGAGGAAAUUCACCGCGGCCAGCCCAGCAACCACUGGGCUUUCCGGGAGCGGAGGCCAUGGCUCAGGCACCAGCUCAUUCCAACACUGUUCCAUGGGGAACCGCAUCCUGAGAGGCACCCCUAGCUCCUCUGCGGACCGCGCAAACCCCGCUCCAUUCCAUUUCCCGGCGGCGGUUGACAUGCAACCGUGAGUCACCCGGGCGCCCGCCUCCGCCCGGCCGGGCGAGCCGCCGUCGCUCCCAGCGGGACCGGCUCCGUCGGGCCGCACCCUCCCUCUCGGGGGGACAGGUCUCCGCUCCACAGGGGGCGCUCCCGUAACAACCCGGCCGACCUGGCGCCUCUCACUACCUUUCGGGACAGACUCUACACUU